AGGACGAACGCUGGCGGCGUGCUUAACACAUGCAAGUCGAACGGUGACCCUCGGAGCUUGCUUCGGGGUGAUCAGUGGCGAACGGGUGAGUAACACGUGAGUAACCUGCCCCAGACUCUGGGAUAACCCCGGGAACCGGAGCUAAUACCGGAUACGACACGGAGAGGCAUCUCUACCGUGUGGAAAGUUUUUCGGUCUGGGAUGGACUCGCGGCCUAUCAGCUUGUUGGUGAGGUAAUGGCUCACCAAGGCGACGACGGGUAGCCGGCCUGAGAGGGCGACCGGCCACACUGGGACUGAGACACGGCCCAGACUCCUACGGGAGGCAGCAGUGGGGAAUAUUGCACAAUGGGCGAAAGCCUGAUGCAGCGACGCCGCGUGAGGGAUGAAGGCCUUCGGGUUGUAAACCUCUUUCAGCAGGGAAGAAGCGAAGUGACGGUACCUGCAGAAGAAGCACCGGCUAACUACGUGCCAGCAGCCGCGGU
rnacentral:rRNA from 1 species